rnacentral:rRNA from 1 species
AUUGAACGCUGGCGGCAUGCCUAACACAUGCAAGUCGAGCGGUAGAGAGAAGCUUGCUUCUCUUGAGAGCGGCGGACGGGUGAGUAAUGCCUAGGAAUCUGCCUGGUAGUGGGGGACAACGUUUCGAAAGGAACGCUAAUACCGCAUACGUCCUACGGGAGAAAGCAGGGGACCUUCGGGCCUUGCGUUAUCAGAUGAGCCUAGGUCGGAUUAGCUAGUAGGUGAGGUAAUGGCUCACCUAGGCGACGAUCCGUAACUGGUCUGAGAGGAUGAUCAGUCACACUGGAACUGAGACACGGUCCAGACUCCUACGGGAGGCAGCAGUGGGGAAUAUUGGACAAUGGGCGCAAGCCUGAUCCAGCCAUGCCGCGUGCAGGAGUGACGGUCCUAUGGA